GCGGCCUAUCAGCUUGUUGGCGGGGUAAUGGCCCACCAAGGCGACGACGGGUAGCUGGUCUGAGAGGAUGGCCAGCCACAUUGGGACUGAGAGACGGCCCAGACUCCUACGGGAGGCAGCAGUGGGGAAUCUUGCGCAAUGGCCGAAAGGCUGACGCAGCGACGCCGCGUGUGGGAGGACGCCUUUCGGGGUGUAAACCACUGUUGCCCGGGACGAAUAUCCUCUUUAGAGAGGAUUGACGGUACCGGGUGAGGAAGCACCGGCUAACUCCGUGCCAGCAGCCGCGGUAAUACGGAGGGUGCGAGCGUUGUCCGGAAUCAUUGGGCGUAAAGGGCGCGUAGGUGGCGGGACAAGCGUGCGGUGAAAGCUCGGGGCUCAACCCCGAGUCGGCCGUGCGAACUGUUUUGCUGGAGCACUGUAGAGGCAGGCGGAAUUCCGGGUGUAGCGGUGGAAUGCGUAGAGAUCCGGAAGAACACCGGUGGCGAAGGCGGCCUGCUGGGCAGUUGCUGACACUGAGGCGCGACAGCGUGGGGAGCAAACAGGAUUAGAUACCCUGGUAGUCCACGCCGUAAACGAUGGGCACUAGGCGCUUGGGGGAGCGACCCCCCGAGGGCCGUAGCUAACGCAUUAAGUGCCCCGCCUGGGGAGUACGG
rnacentral:rRNA from 1 species